UCUGGGAAACUGCCUGAUGGAGGGGGAUAACUACUGGAAACGGUAGCUAAUACCGCAUAACGUCGCAAGACCAAAGAGGGGGACCUUCGGGCCUCUUGCCAUCGGAUGUGCCCAGAUGGGAUUAGCUUGUUGGUGGGGUAACGGCUCACCAAGGCGACGAUCCCUAGCUGGUCUGAGAGGAUGACCAGCCACACUGGAACUGAG
rnacentral:rRNA from 1 species